rnacentral:tRNA from 1 species
GAGCCCCUAGUAAAACAUUACAUAGCCCUGUCAGUGCUAAGUUACAGACCCAAGCCUCUGUGAGGCUCC